AUCAUGAAACGCGUAUGAGGGGAUUCCAAGUGCUAAUACUUUGUAUUAGCUGUUUACUUGCCUAAAAAGCAGGUAGAGUAAGGGCUGGGUAAGACUGGUGCCAGCCGCCGCGGUAAUACCAGCAGCUCAAGUGGUGAUCGUUUUUAUUGGGCCUAAAGCGUCCGUAGCCGGUUUGGUAAACCCUUGGGUAAAUCGGGCAGCUUAACUGUCCGACUUCUGAGGAGACUGCCAGACUUGGGACCGGGAGAGGUCAGAGGUACUUCUGGGGUAGGGGUGAAAUCCUGUAAUCCUAGAAGGACCACCAGUGGCGAAGGCGUCUGACUAGAACGGGUCCGACGGUAAGGGACGAAGCCCUGGGUCACGAACCGGAUUAGAUACCCGGGUAGUCCAGGGUGUAAACGCUGCGGGCUUGGUGUUGGGGGUCCUACGAGGGCGUCCAGUGCCGGAGAGAAGUUGUUAAGCCCGCCGCCUGGGGAGUACAUCAUGAAACAUCAUGAAACAUCAUGAAACAUCAUGAAACCA
rnacentral:rRNA from 1 species